GGAAUGGUUUGGCACCUCGAUGUCGGUUCGUCACAUCCUGGGGCUGGAGAAGGUCCCAAGGGUUCGGCUGUUCGCCGAUUAAAGUGGCACGUGAACUGGGUUCAGAACGUCGUGAGACAGUUCGGUCCCUAUCUGUUGCGGGCGUCGGAAGUUUGAGAGGAGCUGCUAUUAGUACGAGAGGACCGUAGCGGACGAACCGCUAGUGUGCCAGUUGUUCCGCCAGGAGCACCGCUGGGUAGCUAUGUUCGGAUGGGAUAAGCGCUGAAAGCAUCUAAGCACGAAGCCCACCUCAAGAUGAGACUUCCUUAUUAGGACCGUAGAAGACUACUACGUUGAUAGGUCACAGGUGUAAAGCCAGUAAUGGCAUAGCCGAGUGAUACUAAUUGUCCGAACGUUUUCGACCC
rnacentral:rRNA from 1 species